AUGCAGGCUCAGUUCAUGAAAUCAGUUACAAAAGGACCUAGGUUGGAUUUUCCUAGAUUUUCUGGAACAGACCCAGUGGGGUGGAUAAGACAAUGUAACAAGUACUUCCAAAUGUCUAGACCUCCAGAGGAGUACAAAGUCUCAUUAGCUCAGAUGUACAUUGUUGAUGAUGCUGAUGUAUGGCUAAGGAGAUCUGGUCUGUUGAAGAAGCAGCUCAAUUGGAAAGAAUUUGGUGCAGAAGUAGUUAAAAGAUUUUCUGACAAGGGUUCAUAUGAUCUGACAGAAAAGUUUAACUCAAUCAAACAGAUGCAUUAUUCUGUAUCUGAAUAA
rnacentral:rRNA from 1 species